AUAUACCUCGCACGCCCACCUGGUCUGUCAGUGUGGACCAGACCGCUGAGGGCAAGGGAGGAAAACACACACACACACACACACACACACACACACACACACACACACACACACACACACACACACACACACAGUCGCUCAUCACGGUGACCCCAGUGCGCAGGGCUGGAGGGAGGCGCCAGCCAGCCUCACAGUGUUUCAUCACUGCCGCCCUCCCUCCCUCCUCCGCCCAGCGGCCCACCUAGAGGUCAAGCAUGGGUCGCCGGCUACCAGUUACCUAUCAAAGCAAACUGGUGGUCUUGUGAUGAUGCAGGACAUCAGAUAAACUACUGGUUCGCACUCAAUCAGUCGCUGCGGUGCCUCAGCGGUAUCUAGUUUGGCUGACACCUCUUUGAAACUGACAUACGACUCUUCCCCUCCUGUUCCGUCACCAUCGUCACCCAUUCCUUCGGCUGAGGGCAGCCUGCUACGUAGCUGGUGAUCAUCGGGCUGCUGGUUCUAGCAAUGUGCACGUACUCUUCUUAAGAGGAUCAUUUAGCAUCCCUGCUCCAUAAUCUUCAGAAGUGAUGUUUUUGAUAUUUAGAGGAAAUUAUUUUGUUAAUCACAAUGGAUUUAUACAUUUGAAUGUCAAAGACGGGCGAAGUGCCGCCAGCGGGAAUGAGUGACGGUGGCUUGAAACAAGAUUCAUUACCAAGGCGACCGUGUGCCGGGAUGUUCUCAUUUUUUAAGUGUGCUACACAUUAACUCCGAUAUAUAAUGAAUGAAAGAAAACUGACGGAAUUGUAAUAAUUGAUGGUGUUCCUGUUGAAUAUCCUCCUUCCGCGUGUUUUGGACAAUGCUGGUCAGUUCGCUGUUGGUCAGUGACGGCCCGAGCCAAGAAGACCAGAGUUCAUCAAAGGUGCAGCCAGAACAGUAAAGAACAUCGUCCUGACCAUCGCAGCACCUCCAUCUUCAAAUAAGUAAUCCACAACGGACUGUGCACAUAUUUGUGACUAAUCAUAAAAAGAACUUUUUGUCAUCUCUUUUGGCUGCAAAAUUCCAAUGAUGCUGUUGAAUAUUACAUGUACCUGUCUCACUUCAGAAACUAUCAAUAAUCUUUGAAAAGCUGGAAGCAGAUUAGCAUAUAUGGUGUUUCUCUGGAAACCAAGCAGAACAAGGGAGAAUGAAAGAAAAGGAAAAUUGUUCGGUUUUAGUGUCUAUUCUUACGAAUGUAUGAACAAUCAAUGGAUUAUCUUGUAAUGGUCAUCGAACAACUGUGAUCAUCUGCUUCGUUAUGCAGUCUCGUGUUCGCGAGACUGCAUGGCUUGAAAUCUGCAGAGGCACCUUGUCUCUACUGUUCAGUCUGCAUCCUGUACAACAUGAAUGAGGUUGAAGAUCUAUAAAUGUCAGUGCGAUAAAUCAGUGUGGUAAACAUCAUUGCACCAAGCACUGCCCUAUAUUCAUCUCAUCCCCGAACUGGUCAGCCUCGCUUCAGAACGCUUGCAUGGCUCCCCACCACUUACUUGGCCAUCUAGUUGUCUGGAGGGGCAUUUCAUAGUCAUCCCGCUGCCACCUAGCCAGUCAGAUAACUCCUUGGCCAGUGUAGCACGGGUCUUUUGUUGGUUUAUUUAUGUGCCACCUAAACCAAUACGCGACACCCUUGCUCCAUUCUGGCGGUGGGUGAUGCUUGUCUUGGUGCCUGUGUUGUUUUUGCUUCGGAUUGUUCCAUCUGCAGUGUUCCCUGUAUGUAAAGUGUCCACACAUCUGGUGUAUCAUUCACUUGCCAUUUAGUUGAUCUGAAGUCGGAUAAACAUGUGGGUGUGUAAGUGAUAUUAUGUUGAAUAAGGUGUUAUAAAUGAAUAAUUAUGCGACACACACACACACACACACACACACACAUUGGUAAAUUGACUACAAAUCAGUAGUAACUCUAUUUUUAAGUGAAAGUGCAAUGAAGUAACUAUGGGCAACAUUGAUACUCAUCCGUACGUUAGUAGCUACGUAAAUAUACAUUAUUUUUCUUAUAUGAUAUAAUCUAUAUAACGCCAUAGUUGCACGGUGUUCUCACAUUUUUAACGAUAGUUUAGCAAGGAUAACAAGGAAGACCCCACUAAUAUUCUUCGUUUCCUUUGAAAAUCAUUCUUAUGAAAUUCUAAUUUAAUCCUGAAACAGGACGAUAAUUUGGUACAGAUACAAGCCAUCACUUCAAGUGGGAAGCCUUCUGAAAGCGUUAGGAGAGACAUAAUUAGUAGAUAACACAUAGGGAUGCAAGCUGGAGAAGCGGAAUUCAAGCUUAGAGAAGUGAAGAAUGUUAUAAAUUCAGUAUCUGGUGUCCAUUAUCUUUCAUUGGGUAUCUAGUCUUGUUGAAGGAACAAGAGGCUCCUCAGAAAGCGGAGGGGUCAGGGACGAGAGUGGCUCGAGAUGGCGAAUGAAGCAUAAUAGUCAUCUGACGAUCCACUUGGAACGAUUAACUAGCAGCCAUUUCACACUGGCCAAAUGAAUGAAUGUCCAAAUGAUGUUAUAUAUGUAUAGACCUUAGGGAGGGGGUAUUUACACGCGAAUCAGCUGACCUCCUGUGUGCCUCGCAGUUACACCAUUCCACCGUGUGUGGUUCGAUUGCAGUUUGAGGAAAGCUCACGCUCAGUCGAGUUGUGGCUUCCUUGUAUGAAGGAGGUAACAUUCCUUAGAGUGACAUGAUUCUUAUUACAUGAAUCUUGUCCAAAGCGCCAACCUGGGUUUGAUAUCCAUAUUGAAGUAGUGAGAGCAGUGGCCAGGGCAAGCCAGGCCAUGUAGGGAAUCAACAGCAGCCCUGCCAAGACAUCCUCCUUCCAGAAGGCAAACAUUGUCAUGGCAACGGAAGCGUCCAGAAGCAGGAUCUCAAACAAAGCCUGAAACAGAUGGUCAGCAACAAAUUAUGAGCUCCCUGUACCAUCUUACAUUUUACUCUAGACUGUCUGGACACCUUCCCUACAAAAGCCUUUAAAUAUGAGCAUGACUGACUCUUCUUGUGGGCAUCUCCUCUUGAUUAUCAUUCUCUUUUGUGUGGUAUGUUGGCCUAAUACAUAGAUGUAGAUAUUUUAUUUCUUUGAUGUAAAUAAGCAGCUUAGAAGAUAAUCAAAUUGGAAGAAUUAUAUUAAAUGUGUCAGUACAGUCCUCAAAUAGUAUAAUGGAUCAGUCUAGUUUUUAUAUACAAGAAUCGUGAUCCAAUACACCAAAGUUUAUGGAAUCAUUGAAUAAAGUUAAGAUGGACAAGAUAUUUCCACAGCUUUCUCAACAGACGGCAUGGCAGAGGUUACACUACAUCACUAAUAAAAGAGUGGGCCUGGUAGUAAAGAAACGAGGAGAAAGCAA